UCAGUUUGUUGAAAGCGAUGCUGACGAGGAGCUUCUGUUCAAUAUACCGUUUACAGGUAGCGUGAAGCUGAAAGGGAUCAUUAUUUCUGGUGAAGAUGAUGAGUCACACCCAGCUGAAAUAAGACUG